CCCUGAAUAGCUCAGUCAGUAGAACAUGAUACUCUUAAUCUCAGGGUCGCGGGUUCAAGCCCCACGUUGGGCA